GACGUUCCAGAUCUCUGCUAUGUAAUAAUGUUGGAUAUUUGUAUAUAUCAGAAUUACUAUUUUUAUUAGGUCUAUUUAUUGUUCAGUUGGUUAUUUGUUUGAACACUGAAGCUUACCGUACAUCAGUACUGCCGCCCUACGUACGAUACGGAGAAAAUUCGAAAGUGAAAGUAGAAAUUGUGUACAGUACAAGUUAACAAUAACCAUCUCGAAGUUGAAGUUAAACACGCAAUCUGGAACUCGGUAUCACAUCUGACUCGCACUUCUGAAUUGGAUCAAAUAGGACUUUGUCGUCGAGACUCGGAAGAACCCAGCUGCCUAAAUUAUAAUUCCAGUGGAACUCAAAACAGAAAAGAUACUUGUAUGCAAGACAUGGAGAAAAGAGCAGACUACAGCCUCUAUAUUCCACUCCUUGGUGCCUCCUUGAAUUGAUGUUUUUCAGGAUAGCCAUGCAGGAACAAAGGUUUACUCAGUAUAAAGUCUUGCUGACAUGAACAUGAUAAUCACAAGAAAGUGAAUAAAUUUCAUCACCGUAAGCAAUCUUCAAAAUACCAGGUAAAUUGCAUUUAUUCCGAACACAUAUCAAAUAUUUAAACCCAUUUAAUAUGUCACCCCUAAAUUUUAAGCUCACCUAAGCCAAAAACUCAAGUGAGCUUUUCUGAUCACAUUUUGUCCGUCGUCCGUCCGUCUGUCUGUCCUUCUGUAAAAUUUUCACAUUUUUGACUUCUUCUCAAGAACCACUGGGCCAGGAAAGAUGGAAC